rnacentral:lncRNA from 1 species
CAACAGAAAGCAGCAGGACGAGCAUGUUCUCUGGUUUUAAAUAGCUCUGGUGAAAGUAUUUAUCAUGCUGUUUUCAUUGCAGCAUUGCUGGGGCGUUUGUGCUGGCUGAGGGUGGAAGGACUGAUCUUGGAAGGAAACUCCAUGUGAAAUCCCCAGCCUGCUCUGCAGACACAUGUGCUGGGCUAUUUCUGGACCAGCUUUCAGCUGCCACAGGGGAGCUGGAAGAAGUGGGGAGAGCCCAGAAAUCCUGCCUGAGCUGUCUCAGAAGGACUGGACUAGCCUGAAGGCCACCAAAGCCACAGCCCAGCAGCAUGGUUUGGCACACAGACAUCCCACACCCAGCAUCCAGCAGUGCUGGGGGGUAGAUCCAGUGUCACCAGGAAAGCCGUGACCUCAACAAGCCACGCAGGCUCCUUCCUGUGCAGUAAGUAAUGCCCCUAAGAAAGAGAAGUUUUCCGAGGGUCCUCAGAGGCUGGAGCAAAGU